GCACGCGCCGCGGCCCACCCUCCCCCAGGUGCCCUCCGCCCAGCGGGCGCGCCGGGGGGUGCGGAAGGACGCCGAGGGUGGCGGGAGGGGUGCCCCCGCCAGGAUUUUUUAUUACUUAAUAGCUGCCGCACUGUCUGCUCUUAGGACAGCCACUCUCCUUUGAACAGAGCCGGCCCCUGUUAUUACCGGGGCUCUGCCCGGCCGGAGGUUGCGCCCGCGCGCGCACCGCCGCCGCGCACUGGAGGACGGAGCUCUCCCCCGGCAGCCAUUGGCGCCGACCCGAGUCCGCUGGGGUGCGCCUUCCGCACGGCGCGGGAACCGCGGAGGCCCGGGAGCCCUGCAGCGCUGCGCGGUGGGCGUGGGGCCUGGUACGGUGCCGCCUGCACUGUGCAGACAGGGAUGUCGGGGCCGGGAGCGAUGGAGCAGCUUCAAGUGGCUAGGGAGGGAAUCCAGGGGCGCACAACCAGUGAUUUCUAAUCUGCGAAACCAGUGGUUUCCAACUUGUUCGGCCAAGAAACGGCUCAGCUCAGACGUGGAAUCACGUUGCCGCUUAGUGGAUAAAAACAAAGGCACUGGGUCCACAGAUAAAAGGGUUUGGUGCCAAUCCAGCCUCCCUCACCUACUAGCUGGGUGGCCUGGGACAAGGACUCCGCCUCCCGAGAAGCCCAGAGCCCCCGUCUGCCAAAUGGAGGUCUACACAAAUAUUCACGACAAGCUACGGAGAAAUGUUGGAGUUUCAAGUCUGUCCUCCGAAUCACUAGGCCCUUUCUCCUCAAUACUACCGACUUUUCUGAGUAACUAACUGUGGGCUCCUAAAGUGGGUCCCCUUUCAGAAGUAUUUCAUGAUGCAUCUCCCCAAUACCGACUGCGCCCCCCCCCCCCACUCGCGGCAACCAGUGUAUGGUUCUCCCCCAUGAAAGGGUGGAGCUGAAAAACCCUUGCAGAUAAACCUCCAAGCCCUACUUCCUUUGUUGGGCAGUUAGGAUAAAUUUAACCUGUCAAAA